rnacentral:rRNA from 1 species
UCGCUGUUUGCGAUAUACGGCAAGCGGCCAAGCGAAAGCGUUAAGUAUUCCACCUGGGGAGUACGCCGGCAACGGUGAAACUCAAAGGAAUUGACGGGGGCCCGCACAAGCGGAGGAACAUGUGGUUUAAUUCGAUGAUACGCGAGGAACCUUACCCGGGCUUAAAUUGCAGAUGAAUUACGGUGAAAGCCGUAAGCCGCAAGGCAUCUGUGAAGGUGCUGCAUGGUUGUCGUCAGCUCGUGCCGUGAGGUGUCGGCUUAAGUGCCAUAACGAGCGCAACCCUUGUUGUCAGUUACUAACAGGUUCCGCUGAGGACUCUGACAAGACUGCCAUCGUAAGAUGUGAGGAAGGUGGGGAUGACGUCAAAUCAGCACGGCCCUUACGUCCGGGGCUACACACGUGUUACAAUGGGGGGUACAGAGGGCCGCUACCACGCGAGUGGAUGCCAAUCCCCAAAACCUCUCUCAGUUCGGACUGGAGUCUGCAACCCGACUCCACGAAGCUGGAUUCGCUAGUAAUCGCGCAUCAGCCACGGCGCGGUGAAUACGUUCCCGGGCCUUGUACUCACCGCCCGUC